GAUGAACGCUAGCGGGAGGCCUAACACAUGCAAGCCGAGCGGUAGAAUAUCUUCGGAUAUUUGAGAGCGGCGUACGGGUGAGGAACACGUGUGCAACCUGCCUUUAUCUGGGAGAUAGCCUUUCGAAAGAAAGAUUAAUAUCCCAUAAUAUAUUGAAUGGCAUCAUUUAAUAUUGAAAGCUCCGGCGGAUAGAGAUGGGCACGCGCAAGAUUAGAUAGUUGGUGAGGUAACGGCUCACCAAGUCUACGAUCUUUAGGGGGCCUGAGAGGGUGAUCCCCCACACUGGUACUGAGACACGGACCAG
rnacentral:rRNA from 1 species